rnacentral:rRNA from 1 species
ACCGGCGGCUCGAGUGGUAACCGUUAUUAUUGGGUCUAAAGGGUCUGUAGCCGGCCGGAUAAGUCUCUUGAGAAAUCCAGCAGCUCAACUGUUGGGCUUUCAGGAGAUACUGUUAGGCUCGAGGCCGGGAGAGGUGAGAGGUACUUCAGGGGUAGGGGUGAAAUCAGAUAAUCCUGGAAGGACCACCAGUGGCGAAGGCGUCUCAAUGGAACGAACCUGACGGUGAGUAACGAAAGCAAGGGGCACGAACCG